rnacentral:lncRNA from 1 species
UUCCAAGGGAUGGCAAGGAAAAAUGGAGAGAGUGGAUGCAAAAGUCUAGACAUAACAGGAGGAAAAUGCGAGCGAGCCUGCCGCCUGUGAUCCAGAAAGAUGUUCGUUCUAAGCGGAGCUCUGGAAGAAGAGAGAGCCCCAUCACCACUUCGAAGCAAAGAUGGAGGAGAAAUGUUCAAGGUACCUUUGUUCACCAAUCUCUCAGCGCAGCAGCGGGUCAUCUUCUCAGCCAGCAGCAACAGUUCAGCCAGGCGCAGCAGCGAGGCAGCGAGAGUUCUCCUCGGGAAUGCAAGUCCUCCACAGCUGCAGGAGGCGAGUAGCUUUGGUGAGAAUCAAAACUUCAAAGCUCCCGGUUCGGUACCUUUCAAGUGGGAAGAACAACCCGGUAAGCCGAAGUCGCCGUCUUCUCUGAUCUACUCGAGCUCUCCCGGGAGCUCUCCACUGUCGUUCCUCC